rnacentral:tRNA from 1 species
GAGGGGGUCCCAAAGCAAAAACUGCUAACUUUUGCUCCCGCAGCUAACUCCUGCGGCCUGCUCGC